UACGUAGGGUGCAAGCGUUAAUCGGAAUUACUGGGCGUAAAGCGUGCGCAGGCGGUUGUGUAAGACAGAUGUGAAAUCCCCGGGCUCAACCUGGGAACUGCAUUUGUGACUGCACGGCUAGAGUGUGUCAGAGGGGGGUGGAAUUCCACGUGUAGCAGUGAAAUGCGUAGAUAUGUGGAGGAACACCAAUGGCGAAGGCAGCCCCCUGGGAUAACACUGACGCUCAUGCACGAAAGCGUGGGGAGCAAACAGG
rnacentral:rRNA from 1 species